AUGAACGCUGGCGGCGUGCCUAACACAUGCAAGUCGAACGGAGUCCAGCCUUUAAGACCUUCGGGUCAAAGAGGGGAAGACUGAGUGGCGGACGGGUGAGUAACACGUGGGCAACCUGGCUCAUAGAGGGGGAUAACAGAGAGAAAUUUCUGCUAAUACCGCAUAAGCACACACUGCCGCAUGGCAGAGGGUGAAAAGAGAAUCGCUAUGAGAUGGACCCGCGUCUGAUUAGCCAGUUGGCAGGGUAAGAGCCUACCAAAGCGACGAUCAGUAGCCGAUCUGAGAGGAUGAACGGCCACAUUGGGACUGAGGCACGGCCCAAACUCCUACGGGAGGCAGCAGUGGGGGAUAUUGCACAAUGGGGGGAACCCUGAUGCAGCGACGCCGCGUGAGUGAAGAAGUAUUUCGGUAUGUAAAGCUCUAUCAGCAGGGAAGAUAAUGACAGUACCUGAAUAAGAAGCCCCGGCUAACUACGUG
rnacentral:rRNA from 1 species